rnacentral:rRNA from 1 species
AACGAACGCUGGCGGCAUGCCUAACACAUGCAAGUCGAACGAGACCUUCGGGUCUAGUGGCGCACGGGUGCGUAACGCGUGGGAACCUGCCCUUAGGUUCGGAAUAACUCCCCGAAAGGGGUGCUAAUACCGGAUAAUGUCUUCGGACCAAAGAUUUAUCGCCUUUGGAUGGGCCCGCGUUGGAUUAGCUAGUUGGUAGGGAAAAGCCUACCAAGGCGACGAUCCAUAGCUGGUCUGAGAGGAUGAUCAGCCACACUGGGACUGAGACACGGCCCAGACUCCUACGGGAGGCAGCAGUGGGGAAUAUUGGACAAUGGGCGAAAGCCUGAUCCAGCAAUGCCGCGUGAGUGAUGAAGGCCUUAGGGUUGUAAAGCUCUUUUACCCGGGAUGAUAAUGACAGUACCGGGAGAAUAAGCUCCGGCUAACUCCGUG